rnacentral:lncRNA from 1 species
ACUUUCUUGCCUCUUUAUCUUUCCUUUUUGUCCGGACACAGGUCCAUAUAAACAAAGGCUUUACAGUGGGGCGAGUUAUGGUUAUAUUUGAAUUAGAGGAGAACAUAACUGAGUGAUUUUGGAGGAAGUAACUGUAGAUCAUUGCCCUCCUGUGACCAGGUGUCUGGAUCAGACAGAGGGCCAGGAGGCCCCAGCCCCGUCUCGCCCUGUGGUCCCUGAGUGCCCCAUCUGUGGGAAGGGCUUCAAGUCGCUCAAAAGUCGCUCCACCCAUCUCAAGCGCUGCUCAGCCGACAUGGGGGUGCCUCCAGCGGCCCUUUUGCAAGCCCUGCACAGACAGGCCAGUGAGGCUGUGAGUGACAGCACAGCUGGCCAAUCGUGAGUCAACCGUCUAUGUGAAAUGAUACAAAAGCACUGCAGUAGGUUCAGUGUAAACUACAGCAGGGUUUAUAUUUGUGAAGGAAGAAGGCCAAAAACCUUCGCUGCAUAGUACAUUUUCAUGAUCAGCAGUGUUGCCAAUAAUUACCAUUCAUUUGGAGAUCACAAUAUACAAGUGACAAUUUUGCGAACUAGUCAAGAAGAAGAAUUAGUGACUACAGAUUGUUGAGUCACUAGUCAAGAAGAAUGAGUCACUACAGAUUGUUAAGUCACUAGUCAAGAAGAAGAAUUAGUCACUACAGUUUGUCUUUGAUAUCCCAGUGCCCAAACUGGAGGUCCCAAGAGGAGAAGCCCCUCGGAUCCCAACCAGCCUGCCAGGAAGAAGCCCAAGAAGAAGGCCCAGCCUGUGGAUGAGGACACCAUGGUGGCUCUGGCCCUCUCCCGCUCUCUGCUGGAUCAGGAAGUAGAGAAGGGGAGAGCAAAAGCCAUUGAGGUCCUGGAGGUUAAAGGAGCUGAACUUCAGAUGUCUCUCGGCUCAGCCUUGCAUCGGAAGCCAGCAGCAGGUGCUGGCAAAGGGAAGAGACGGAGGAAGGGAGCCCCCACGGGUCCUCCUCCGCUGCUCCUCAGGCAGGACCCAGAGGAGGCGCUGCGGCGCCUCCAGGAGCGCGUCUCCCUCAUGCUGCUGCGCUCCCGCACCCCCUCCCCUCCUCCCACCCCCACCCUGCCCCC